GCCUCUUUUAGAGUUCUUAAAGAAGGAAUUUCUGCCUCAAUUGGCAAAACAGCUUCUAUCUCAUAGAUCAGCGAAUAUGGAGUUGCUCCGGUUGACGUUCUUACUGUAGUUCGAUAGGCAUGAAGCGCAAAGGAAAGCAUAUCAUGCCAAUCUUUAUAAGUGACUGUCAUUUUUUUCAAUUAUCCGCUUGAGAUUUUUAUUGGCAGCUUCUACAACUCCAUUUAUCUAGGGCCGAUAUGACGAUGAAUUGAGAUGCUGAAUCUUAUAUUGAUCACACAACUUCUGAAUCUUUGAACCAUUCACAUUUUUGGCAUUAUCAGUGACAAAUUCCCAAGAAAGACCAUACUGGCAGAUUAUUAUUCUUGAAAAAUUUCAGAAAGGUGUUCUGAGUGAU
rnacentral:misc_RNA from 1 species